rnacentral:rRNA from 1 species
ACACUCCUACGGGAGGCAGCAGUGGGGAAUAUUGGACAAUGGGCGCAAGCCUGAUCCAGCCAUGCCGCGUGAGUGAUGAAGGCCCUAGGGUUGUAAAGCUCUUUCACCGGUGAAGAUAAUGACGGUAACCGGAGAAGAAGCCACGGCUAACUUCGUGCCAGCAGCCGCGGUAAUACGAAGGGGGCUAGCGUUGUUCGGAUUUACUGGGCGUAAAGCGCACGUAGGCGGACUAUUAAGUCAGGGGUGAAAUCCCGGGGCUCAACCCCGGAACUGCCUUUGAUACUGGUAGUCUUGAGUUCGAGAGAGGUGAGUGGAAUUCCGAGUGUAGAGGUGAAAUUCGUAGAUAUUCGGAGGAACACCAGUGGCGAAGGCGGCUCACUGGCUCGAUACUGACGCUGAGGUGCGAAAGCGUGGGGAGCAAACAGGAUUAGAAACCCGAGUAGUCCCAUGAU